UGGAUUAGUGGCGAACGGGUGAGUAACACGUGGGUGAUCUGCCCUGCACUUCGGGAUAAGCUUGGGAAACUGGGUCUAAUACCGGAUAGGAACCAUCUUUAGUGUGGUGGUUGGAAAGUUUUUUCGGUGUAGGAUGAGCUCGCGGCCUAUCAGCUUGUUGGUGGGGUAAUGGCCUACCAAGGCGGCGACGGGUAGCCGGCCUGAGAGGGUGUACGGCCACAUUGGGACUGAGAUACGGCCCAG
rnacentral:rRNA from 1 species